rnacentral:rRNA from 1 species
UACGGAGGGUGCAAGCAUUAAUCGGAUUUAUUGGGCGUAAAGGGCGCGUAGGCGGAAGUGAAAGUCAGAUGUGAAAUCCCGGGGCUCAACCCCGGAACAGCAUUUGAAACUCCAUUUCUAGAGGGUAGGCGGAGAAAACGGAAUUCCACAAGUAGCGGUGGAAUGCGUAGAUAUCGCUUGGAACGCCGAAGGUGAAAACAGGUCGCUGGGGACGCGCCGACGCUGAGACACGAAAGCCAGGGGAGCAAACGGG